rnacentral:tRNA from 1 species
GCGGGUGUGACGAAAUUGGGAGACGUACUAGAUUUAGGUUCUAGUGCCGCAAGGCUUGGGGGUUCAAGUCCCUCCAUCCGCACCA